rnacentral:rRNA from 1 species
AGUCGAACGGGUAGGGGCUUGGUAAUCAAGGCCCUACUAGUGGCGGACGGGUGAGUAACGCGUGAGAAUCUAACUUGAGGAUGGGGAUAACAGUGGGAAACUACUGCUAAGACCCAAUGUGCCGGAAGGUGAAAAAUGAAAAUUGCCCCAAGAAGAGCUCGCGUCUGAUUAGCUAGUUGGAGAGGUAAAGGCUCACCAAGGCGACGAUCAGUAGCUGGUCUGAGAGGAUGAGCAGCCACACUGGGACUGAGACACGGCCCAGACUCCUACGGGAGGCAGCAGUGGGGAAUUUUCCGCAAUGGGCGAAAGCCUGACGGAGCAAUACCGCGUGAGGGAGGAAGGCUUUUGGGUUGUAAACCUCAAAACUUAGGGAAGAAGAAAGUGACGGUACCUAAUGUAAGCAUCGGCUAACUCCGUGCCAGCAGCCGCGGUAAUACGGAGGAUGCAAGCGUUAUCCGGAAUUAUUGGGCGUAAAGAGUCCGUAGGUGGCGAUUCAAGUCUGCUGUUAAAGACCAGAGCUUAACUCGGGAAAAGCGGUGGAAACUGAAAAGCUAGAGUUCGGGAGGGGUAGAGGGAAUUCCCAGUGUAGCGGUGAAAUGCGUA